rnacentral:rRNA from 1 species
GCAGCCACCUUUUAAAACGCGUCAAAGCGUAACCUUAACCCCCAAAAUACCACUAAUUUUCAUGAACCCCUAAUUUAUAAUGAAUGACUCCAUAUUUAUAUGGAAGACACCAUGCUAGGAUUAGUAACAAGAAUUUAUAAUUCUCCAAAAUGCAAAUAUAAACCAACAUGGAUGGACCAUUGGUAGUUACCGAACCUAAAUUCAAUGCAAUAACACCCACAAGAAAACUCUGCAGUACUCACUCGUUAACCUAACACCAGCGCAUUACAGGAAAGAUUAAAAAAAAGAGAAGGAAUUCGGCAAAUGACGGCCCCGCCUGUUUACCAAAAACAUCGCCUCUUGACUUAUAAUAAGAGGUCUAGCCUGCCCAGUGAAUUUUAAACGGCCGCGGUAUCCUAACCGCGCGAAGGUAGCAUAAUCACUUGUUCUUUAAAUGGGGACUCGUAUCAACGGCAUCACGAGGGUUUUACUGUCUCCUCUUUUUGAUCAGUGAAAUUGAUCUUCCCGUGAAGAAGCGGGAAUAAAUUUAUAAGACGAGAAGACCCCAUGGAGCUUUAAACCAAAUAACAACUUAACCACUCACCCCAUAAUAAAUUUAAGCCCUGUUAUAAGGUUUUUGGUUGGGGUGACCGCGGAGUAAAGCAUAUCCUCCACGACGAAAAGAACAGAAUCUUUAUUUAAGAACCACACUUCUAGAAAUUAGUAUACUAACGUUUACUGACCCGACAAUCGAUCAACGGACCAAGUUACCCUGGGGAUAACAGCGCAAUCUACUUCAAGAGCUCAUAUCGACAAGUAGGCUUACGACCUCGAUGUUGGAUCAGGGUAUCCCGGUGGUGCAGCCGCUACCGAAGGUUCGUUUGUUCAACGAUUAAAACCCUACGUGAUCU